CUUCCUUUGAGAGCGGCGGACGGGUGUUUAAUGCCUAGGAAUCUGCCUGGUAGUGGGGGAUAACGUUCGGAAACGGACGCUAAUACCGCAUACGUCCUACGGGAGAAAGCAGGGGACCUUCGGGCCUUGCGCUAUCAUAUGAGCCUAGGUCGGAUUAGCUUGUUGGUGAGGUAAUGGCUCACCAAGGCAACGAUCCGUAACUGGUCUGAGAGGAUGAUCAGUCACACUGGAACUGAGACACGGUCCAGACUCCUACGGGAGGCAGCAGUGGGGAAUAUUGGACAAUGGGGGAAACCCUGAUCCAGCCAUGCCGCGUGUGUGAAGAAGGUCUUAGGAUUGUAAAGCACUUUAAGUUGGGAGGAAGGGUUAUAGCCUAAUACGCUGUAACUUUGACGUUACCGACAGAAUAAGCACCGGCUAACUCUG
rnacentral:rRNA from 1 species